rnacentral:rRNA from 1 species
AGAGUUUGAUCAUGGCUCAGGAUGAACGCUAGCGGCAGGCUUAAUACAUGCAAGUCGAGGGGCAGCGCAGUGUAGCAAUACAUGGGCGGCGACCGGCAAACGGGUGCGGAACACGUACACAACCUUCCUUUAAGCGGGGAAUAGCCCGGGGAAACCCGGAUUAAUACCCCAUAGUGCGUCGAGAGGGCAUCCUCUUGAUUUUAAAGAUUUAUCACUUAAAGAUGGGUGUGCGGCUGAUUAGGUAGUUGGCGGGGUAACGGCCCACCAAGCCUACGAUCAGUAACUGGUGUGAGAGCACGACCAGUCACACGGGCACUGAGACACGGGCCCGACUCCUACGGGAGGCAGCAGUAAGGAAUAUUGGUCAAUGGACGAAAGUCUGAACCAGCCAUGCCGCGUGGAGGAUGAAGGUCCUCUGGAUUGUAAACUUCUUUUAUAUGGGACGAAAAAGGGUCUUUCUAGAUCAACUGACGGUACCAUGUGAAUAAGCACCGGCUAACUCCGUGCCAGCAGCCGCGGUAAUACGGAGGGUGCAAGCGUUAUCCGGAUUCACUGGGUUUAAAGGGUGCGUAGGUGGGUUGGUAAGUCAGUGGUGAAAUCCCCGAGCUUAACUUGGGAACUGCCAUUGAUACUAUCAGUCUUGAAUACCGUGGAGGUCAGCGGAAUAUGUCAUGUAGCGGUGAAAUGCUUAGAUAUGACAUAGAACACCAAUUGCGAAGGCAGCUGGCUACACGAAUAUUGACACUGAGGCACGAAAGCGUGGGGAUCAAACAGGAUUAGAUACCCUGGUAGUCCACGCC